rnacentral:lncRNA from 1 species
GCUGAACUUCAUGGUGGAAGAGUGUGGCAAAAGUGAGCCGCCCACGUGGUGAUCAGGAAGCAGAGAGAGGUGGCAUUUGCUGGGGAGCCCUCUCCUGCCCUAGGUGCUUCCUCCUUAGAGGGCCCACCCAGGACGGCUCUUCUGAGCAAGUCUUUGGUUAGCACCAGGAGCUUGGCUUGACACCUCUGCCACCUCCAAAUCCAUCUUACAUAUUGUUUCUGGACACUCUGCAAACAAUAAACCAUGCCUUCAUGGAGUUUGCAUUCUAAUUGGGGGUGGGGGGAGAAGGCAAUUAAAAGGUUAAUGAAAAAAUAAUGAAGACAGCAUAUACACAACCGGUUCAGGGUGACACAUGCCUCGAAGAAAAUAAAAGGGGAUAAUGAGCCGAGGGGCUGACAAUGGGUGUCUUGCCAUUUUAAAUAGGAGUGGUAGGGAAGGCCUCACGCAGUUACCUUUGAGCAGCUGGAAGCAGGACAGAGUUCAGGCCACCAGCAUAACUGGGACAAGGGGUUCCAGGGAAGCCCCGUGCAGAGGCUUCCACAGUAGCAGGCCUGGUGUCCUCAGGGACACUGCCAAUGUCUUUGCUUUGACACUGGGUGGGACAGGAGCCCCUGCUGUAUGGGAGCAGAGGGGGACUGAUCUGCUCUUGUCUCCUGCCCAAGAGGUGAUGGGGCAAGUUUGACAAGUUCAUUUUAGGCCAAAGUGAAUGCGAUGGAUGUGACAGCUGACAGCCCACUGCCCACCUCUCCGUUAGUUUGGAAACAUUUUUUCAUUAUGUUGUUUGUUGUUGUUAUUAUUAUUAUUAUUUAACCAGGGAUGCUUUACCACUGACCUGUAGCCUCAGCCCUUUUUAUUUUUUAUUUUGAGACUGAGUCUAGCUGAAGUUGCUGAGAUGACCUUGAACUUGGAUCCUUCUGCACCAGCCUCCUGAGUCACUGGGAUUACAGG